UCCGCUGGUCGCGGAGAGCUGGUGGGAAGGGAGGAGCGGGAGCUAGAGGGCCCCAGAGACUGGCGCCUGCCUGGGCGCAGCGCGGCAUGUAGCUGCGGGCGCCCGCGCCAAGGUGUCAGCCCGGGACCCCACCAUGGCUGGGACGGACAGUGGGAACCUGAAAACGGUGAGGCUGUGGCGGGACGCCGCCCUGCGUGCCAGAAAGCUGAGGAGCAACCUGCGCCAGCUCACCCUCAGCGCGGCCGGGGGCAGCCCAGGUGCCGACCAGAUCGACUCCCCCGACGCCCCCCAGCUGGUGCUGCCGGCCAACAUCGCGGACAUUGAGGUGCUGAACCUGGGGAACAACGGCCUGGAGGAGGUGCCCGACGGGCUGGGCUCUGCGCUGGGCAGCUUGCGCGUCCUGGUUCUGCGCCGAAACCGCUUCGCCCGGCUGCCCCCCGCGGUGGCGGAGCUGGGCCACCACCUAACCGAGCUGGACGUGAGCCACAACCGGCUGAGCGUCCUGGGCGCCGAAGUGGUGAGCGCCCUGCGUGAGCUGCGGAAGCUCAACCUCAGCCACAACCAGCUGCCCGCCAUGCCUGCCCAGCUGGGCGCGCUGGUCCACCUGGAGGAGCUGGACGUCAGCUUUAACCGGUUGACACACCUGCCCGACUCCUUCUCCUGCCUCUCCCACCUGCGCACCCUCGACGUGGACCACAACCAGCUCACGGCUUUUCCCCGGCAGCUGCUGCAGCUGGCGGCCCUGGAGGAGCUGGAUGUGUCCAGCAACCGGCUGCGUGGCCUACCUGAAGAUAUCAGUGCCCUGCGUGCCCUAAAGAUCCUGUGGCUGAGCGGGGCUGAGCUUGGCACCCUGCCCAGCGGUUUCUGCGAACUGGCCAGCCUGGAGAGCCUCAUGCUGGACAACAACGGGCUGCAGGCUCUGCCCGCCCAGUUUAGCCGCCUGCAGCGGCUCAAAAUGCUCAACCUCUCCUCCAACCUCUUUGAGGAGUUCCCUGCCGCGCUGCUGCCCCUGGCUGGUCUGGAGGAGCUCUACCUUAGUCGCAACCAGCUCACUUCAGUGCCAUCCCUGAUCUCCGGCCUGAGCCGACUUCUCACCCUGUGGCUGGAUAAUAACCGGAUCAGAUACCUGCCAGACUCCAUCGUGGAGCUGACCGGCCUGGAGGAGCUUGUGCUGCAGGGGAACCAGAUUGCUGUGCUGCCAGACAACUUUGGCCAGCUCUCCAGGGUGGGCCUGUGGAAGAUCAAGGACAACCCGCUGAUCCAGCCCCCCUACGAGGUCUGUAUGAAGGGGAUCCCCUAUAUCGCAGCCUACCAGAAGGAGCUGGCUCAUUCCCAGCCGGCGGUCCAGCCCCGCCUCAAGCUGCUCCUGAUGGGCCAUAAGGCUGCAGGAAAGACCCUGCUCUGUCACUGCCUCACCGAAGACAGAGUGGAGGUGAGCCAAGGAGAAGGGGAAAAGGAGAAGAGCUACCCCGCUUCACCUCCUCCUGUGAGCAAGGGCAUUGAGGUGACCAGCUGGACAGCGGAUGCCUCCAGGGGCCUGCGGUUCAUCGUGUAUGACUUAGCUGGGGAUGAAAGUUACGAGGUGAUCCAGCCCUUCUUCCUCUCCCCGGGGGCUCUUUAUGUGCUGGUGGUGAACUUGGCCACCUAUGAGCCACUGCGCUUUCCAACCACUGUGGGCUCCUUCUUGCAUCGGGUGGGGGCCCGGGUGCCUCAUGCAGUGGUGUGCAUUGUAGGCACGCAUGCCGACCUCUGCGGGGAACAGGAGCUGGAGGAGAAGUGUUUGGACAUUCACCGCCAGAUUGCCCUUCAGGAGAAGCGUGACGCCGAGGGCCUAAGCCGUCUAGCCCAGGUGGUAGAUGAGGCGCUGGCCCGGGACUUCGAGCUCCGCUCUGCCAGCCCCCAUGCUGCGUACUAUGGCGUUUCAGACAAGAACCUUCGGCGUCGCAAGGCCCACUUUCAGUACCUGCUCAACCACCGGCUGCAGAUCCUCUCCCCCGUGCUGCCUGUUAGCUGCAGGGAUCCCUGCCAGUUAAAGCGCCUUCGGGACAAACUGCUUUCAGUUGCCGAGCACCGGGAAAUCUUCCCCAACUUACACAGAGUACUGCCCAGGUCCUGGCAGGUGCUGGAGGAGCUGCACUUCCAGCCCCCUCAGGCGCAGCGGCUCUGGCUCAGCUGGUGGGACUCAGCUCGCCUGGGCCUGCAGGCUGGGCUGACCGAGGACCGACUGCAGAGUGCUCUCUCCUACCUGCACGAGAGUGGCAAGCUGCUCUACUUUGAGGACAGCCCGGCUCUCAAGGAGCAUGUCUUCCACAACCUGUCCCGCCUAAUCGACAUCCUCAAUGUUUUCUUCCAGAGGGAUCCUUCCUUGCUGCUGCAUAAGCUGCUCCUAGGGACCAGUGGUGAGGCUGAGGGUGAGGGCGAAAGCUCCCCACUGAUGGCACUGCCCGCCCCGAGCCAGGACACGCUGCGGGCCACCCAGCUUCAUCAUUAUGUGGAGGGCUUUCUUCUGCAUGGGCUCCUGCCAGCCCAUGUCAUCCGGUUGCUGUUGAAGCCUCAUGUCCAGGCUCAGCAGGACCUGCAGCUGCUGCUGGAGCUGCUGGAGAAGAUGGGACUAUGUUACUGCCUCAACAAACCCAAGGGCAAGCCUUUGAAUGGGUCCACGGCCUGGUACAAGUUCCCGUGCUAUGUGCAGAAUGAGGUGCCCCACGCAGAGGCCUGGAUUAAUGGGACCAACCUGGCCGGGCAGUCCUUUGUGGCUGAGCAGUUACAGAUUGAAUAUAGUUUUCCCUUCACCUUUCCACCUGGCUUGUUUGCACGCUACAGCGUCCAGAUCAACAGCCAUGUGGUGCACAGGUCAGAUGGCAAACUUCAGAUCUUUGCAUAUAGAGGAAAAGUCCCUGUGGUGGUGAGUUACAGACCUGCCAAGGGGGUCCUGCAGCCAGACACUCUGUCCAUCGCCAGCCAUGCAUCUUUACCAAACAUAUGGACAGCAUGGCAAGCCAUAACCCCCUUGGUAGAGGAGCUGAAUGUCCUUCUUCAGGAAUGGCCUGGACUGCACUACACCGUGCACAUUCUCUGUUCUAAGUGCCUUAAGAGAGGGUCGCCCAAUCCACACGCUUUCCCAGGGGAGUUGCUGAGUCAGCCCAGACCAGAAGGAGUGGCAGAGAUCAUCUGCCCCAAGAAUGGCAGUGAGCGAGUGAAUGUUGCCUUGGUUUACCCACCCACACCGACUGUGAUCAGCCCCUGUUCCAAGUAUCUGCAUACUUUCUUGGACAAUUAAGUGGAAAAGAUAGUGCUUCUUUCCCUUAUGCCAUCAUUUUUACUGUCCCCAAUCUGUGACUUUAGGAGCACCAAUUUUUAAGGGAAGAACGUUGGUGAAAAGCACAGAAACCAGUGACUUUUAUAUGGCUGUGGAACUUCCAUGGAGAAAAGAGCAUCAGAAUGUACCUGGACCAUCUUUUGUACCCGGCAAACCCUUCACGCUCCCAGGCAUAUUCUGUGACUUCAAGUGCAUACGUGUUUGGGGUGCUUUCAGGGGAGGAAGCACACCUAGCCUGUAGACAACAUGGGGAGGGGCAGGGGUGGGUAAGGAUGGGAGAGAAUAUGGAGCAAAUGUUUUACAACCUGAACCUCAGAACUGUGAUCCUCCAGGGAGAGCGCUACUUGAAGAAAAGAAAAAAAAAAAAAAAAAGUCGAAUGGCUUCUCAGGGAUUUUGUUUUCCAUGCACAUAUAAGCCAUAGUUCCAGUACAGGUGGCAGUAUUUAGAGCACUCAGAUUUCAGUUCUGUUAAAUGUGAAAGAGCGAUCAACUGACCAUUCAUUGCUGUUCCGUAACUAGUGUAAAAUAUGUAUAUGUUUAUCUUUAUUUUUAUAAUAUGCAAAUACAUUUAAAUUUAUACAGGUUGAAGCUUCUAGCGUUAGUUAACACUGGGUGCAAUAUUCUGAUGAGAACUGUGCCAAGAUGGGGCUGAUUUCUUAUUUUAGCAUAGGACCUUUUUGUUUUUAUUCUUUAUCCUUUAAUCCUUUGCAGAUUAAAAAGAAAAAGAUCUCUCUCUCUCUCUCUGCCCAUGGAUGAAGUGUUGGUUCAUAGAGGUUGGCAGUAAUCAGCAAGAACUUUAAAUAUAUGUUUCAGGCAAUGUCCCCUCCCCUCCUUUUACAUAAAGAUCCCUGCCUAUAAACCACUGGACAAGGUAACAGGAUUAUUCCUUUUCUUUGCCCACUAGUGCCAGGCAGUCUUCCUUGCUCUAGGCUUUGUGAUAACUGCGAAUUGUCACUGGGUGAUGGUGUGAUGGAGGCCUGGUGUUAGGACUCUUCAGGGGAGGGGGAUUAAGGAAUCCACAAAUCCAUGGAAAACCAGAGUCUUGCAAUAGCUCAAGAUAAUCAGGAGUCAGUUCUGAAGCAUAUAUAUAUAAAGAGCUCUGCUAAUAAGUUUUUUUUUUUUCUUUUUAGAACAGAGUCUGUGAAAUUUAGCAGAGCACUCUGAAAGCCCUCCACAUCUGGUCAGACCUUAAGAUAGGGCAUUGCCUAAUUGGAGAGCAUGAGCCCACUUUGGCUAUUUAUAAUUACAGAGCCUCUGAUUGGAUGGUCUACUGCCAAGAACUAGUAAAAUCCUAGUUUUAAAAUCUCCAUAAAAUGCAACUUAAAAAGCCAACCAAUGAAAUUGCUCUCUCUUCUUCUCCUCAUCGGGGCCAAACAGCAUCUGCAGCGAUAGUAACACAUUCCUUAAGGAAUGUGCAUGACUCUGUUUACAUCUGCCGCCUAUCCAUGUUGAUUGAAAAUGUGUAAAACUAUUUCUCACCCAUGUAAGGCAAGAAAAAAAUGAGUCCACUGGUAUUAUUCUUUUAUAAAGUAUUGACUCUUGGAAUGCCACAGUA